UCUUAUUUUAUGAUAUUUUGUGGUAUUGCAUUGAAAUAUUGUGGUGAGGAUUGCUGAAAUAUUGAAAAAUUUGUAUUUCAGUUUAGCUUUUUGAGUUUGUUUAUUUGUUUGUUCUUUGUUUUGUUUUGUUUUGUUUUGUUUUUUUUUUUUUUUUGUUUUUUUAAUUUUUUGAUGUUUGGAUUUGUUAUUGGAUUGAUGAAAUGUGGAUUGGACUGAAGUUGUGUGCAUUAAAUUGGAUUUUUAAAUUUUUUAUUUUCAAAAAUAAAUAUUGUUGGGUUAUAUGUUUAUGUGAAAUUAGAUUGUGUGUGGAUUUUGUUUUAGAUAUUGCAUGAAUGAGGAAUGAAAAUUUAGUUUUGUAACGCUUUUGAUGCUAAUGUUGCAUUGAAUCGGUUGUUUUUAAUAAUAAAGUGUUUUGUUUUUAUGAAUCUCUUUGGCUUAUUGAGUUUGUUUGUUUGUUUGUUUGUUCUUUGUUCUUUGUUCUUUGUUUUUAUUUUUGAUGUUUGGAUUUGUUGUUGGAUUGAUGAAAUGUGGGUUGGACAGAAGUUGUGUGCAUAAAAUUGGAUUUUUAAAUUUUAUUAUUUUUAUAAAAUAUUUAUUAUU
rnacentral:lncRNA from 1 species